rnacentral:lncRNA from 1 species
AUAUCAUUCACUAAAACUUUAAAAUAUAAGAGAGAUGCCUUUCUAGCCAUAUACUUACUCUGUCUCUUUUUUUCCUCUCACUGUCUCUCUCUUCGCUCAAAAGAAAUAACUAUCUUGGAAUUUUACUGAGUUUAUAAGCCUGCAAAUAAGUUAUACUGAUAUAACGAAAGUCAGGAGGGACAACAUCUGAGCAAGAUAAAUCUGAGGCUACCAGCGGGAUGUUACACUCGGUCUACUGACUCACAUGCAUCUUCUCCAAGAACACCCUCACAGACACACCUGGAGAAGCUCAAGCAUUCUAAUCAAAAUGAAAACCACCUGGAAUUCUCUUUCAGCAGAAGAGGAAUGGGUUCCAUUCCUAUUGAAGCAUUGAGAAUAAAUAACCCUUUACCAGCUACCUGAGUAUUCCUUAAUUCAGUCAAGUUUCAUCCAAAAUCAACUGUUGCAACUUAUUCUGAAAUGUUCAACUAGCUUUACAUUCUUUAGAUUAGGUCCUGCUUGUUCAUGAUAUAUUGUACUUUUGUAUAGAGCUAGAUUUUAUUUAAAAUACUGUGAAGUUUGUUUGAGGCUGAGGUGGGAGAAUCAAUGAGCCCAGGAGGUUGAGGGUGUAGUGAGCCGUGAUUGUGCCACUGUGCUAUCCCCUGGUAACAGAGUGAGACCCUGUCUCAAAUACAUAAAUAAACAAACAAACAAAUAAAUAAAUAAAUAAAUAAAAUUUCUACAUUGUAGCAAAAAAACAAAUAGAAAUUGAAAUCCAAAAUUGUAUAUACAAUUUAAAUUUGAAUUAAAAAGCACAAAGUGCUUACAAAUUUUAAUAAUUUUUGUGUAAGACUAGCACACUAAAAAUUAUGAAAUAAUACUGAAAGGGUGAUAUAAAUAAAUGCAGAGAUUUAUGGUGUUUAUGGAUUGAAAGACUCAAUAUCAUUAAGUUGUUCAUUCUCAAGUCAAUCUGUAGAUUCAAGGUAAGCUUAAUUAAAAUCUCAAGAAAAUUUUUGUUGUUCUUGUCUUGUUACAGUUCUUGUUGCUGAAAAUGAGAAAAGACAAAAGCUUGGCAGAAGUUAUUGAUUAUAUUUAAAUCUAUGGUUAAAUUUACAUAAGAAAAGAUUAAAUGGUGGCAUCAUCAAGAUAGCAGAGUAGGUGAUACCAGGCUUUGUCUUCACCACAAAAAAAGAGAGACAGCUGUUCAAAAACCAAAAUAUCCCCAAGAAAGCUCUAGGGCCUGUAGGAUACAGUAAAUUCCUCUUCAAAGAUUUUAGCCUGUUAACUUCCUUUAACAUUCAAGAGGGGUAAAAUCGUUAAGUACAAUGAGUUCUGAAUUCCUCUUCAGAAAACUAAUGUGUCAGUAUGUUUUGCUUCCCUGUUCUUUGCUCUCCAUUUUAAAGUUUAACUUCCUCGUUCUUAGGCCUCCUUGCCCUUACUUUCAGUAAACAACACCCUGCUAGCCUCUAUCACCUGCGCUGUCCUUAGUCAUCCUUAGUCACCUGCUCUGUAACCGUCCUUCCCACUGAAACUACUCAUCCCACCACUCUGGCUCGUACCCCUGCCGUCUUUGAAACAGCCAAUCUGAAUUAGCUUAGACUGUGCAGUCCAACCCUAGCCAAUAGGGGAAAGAAACAGCAGUAGGGAUUAACUGCUUUAGGGAUAAGAAUCCCUUCCCCUCCCUUGUCCAGUGUGCUCUCCCCAUUGCUCCAUCUGCGAGACACACCCUUCUAUAGAAGUAAAUUUGCCGCCGGGCAUGGUGGCUCACGCCUGUAAUCCCAGAACUUUGGGAGGCGGAGGCGGCCGGAUCACAUG